rnacentral:snoRNA from 1 species
AACCUUCAGAUUCUUUACCUCUCAGAUCUAAAUAUUGGUCUGAGUGGCUAAAAAAGGAGGAAAAAUAAAACUGAAGUGGACUGGGGGUCUUUAGUGAGAUACCAGUUUAUUAGUUCAUUUCAGACAAAA